rnacentral:rRNA from 1 species
CAGUAGCCACGGUAAUACGAAGGGUGCAAGCGUUACUCGGAAUUACUGGGCGUAAAGCGUGCGUAGGUGGUGGUUUAAGUCCGUUGUGAAAGCCCUGGUCUCAACCUGGGAAUUGCAGUGGAUACUGGGUCACUAGAGUGUGGUAGAGGAUAGUGGAAUUUCCGGUGUAGCAGUGAAAUGCGUAGAGAUCGGAAGGAACAUCUGUGGCGAAGGCGACUAUCUGGGCCAACACUGACACUGAGGCACGAAAGCGUGGGGAGCAAACAGGAUUAGAUACCCCGGUAGUCCCUGUCUCUUAUAC